rnacentral:lncRNA from 1 species
CGCCACUUCGCGCCCUCGGGCGAGGCCAAAGGGGUGGGGGCGACCCGGCUGCGGCUCGUGCCCCUCGGCGAAGCCCCCAGGGUGCCCAGGCUGGGCGACUCCCCCGGCGGCCGCACCCCCGGCCUGGGGCCUCCGGUCGUAGUAAAGCGGAGGCGGGCGCGAGAGCCCGGCGCCGGGCGAAGAUGGUGGCGGCUACUCCUCCCGUCAUACACGUGGACCUAACCUAACCGCACCAAAGCUUUUCAAAGGAUACUUGGCUGAGGAGGAAGUUUCCCGAAUGGUCUUGUUUUAACACAGAUGUAUGCUGCUUGUGAACCAGUUUUGAACAUGUAGUCAAGGAGAGACUUUGGGAGUGGUUGAAGAACCCACAUAGAAAACCUGGGUUGCUGAAUGUGCCCUUGUGAAGCAGAGACUCCUGGAUUGCUUGCUUGCUUCUCGAAUGAUGUGUAAAAGAAUAAUAAAACUCCUCACUUUUUGUGUGUGUGUGGUUUAUUUUUUUUUGAGCUAGUCUGUUCCUGGUCUUUUUGUUACAUCA